CUACGGGGCGCAGCAGGCGCGAAACCUUUACAAUGCACGAAAGUGUGAUAAGGGGAUCCAAAGUGCUCAUACAUUGUAUGGGCUUCUGCCAAAGUUAAAUCCUUUGGCGAAUAAGUGGUGGGCAAGACUGGUGCCAGCCGCCGCGGUAACACCAGCGCCACGAGUGGCAACCGUGAUUAUUGGGCCUAAAGCGUUCGUAGCCGGUUUAAUAAAUCUUUUGUGAAAUCGUGUAGCUUAACUAUACGACGUGCAAGAGACACUGUUAAACUUGAGACCGGGAGGAGCUAGGGGUAUUCUUGGGGGAGCGGUAAAAUGUUAUAAUCCCUUGAAGACCACCUGUGGCGAAGGCGCCUAGCUAGAACGGAUCUGACGGUGAGGGACGAAAGCCAGGGGAGCGAUCCGGAUUAGAUACCCCGGUAGUC
rnacentral:rRNA from 1 species